GAUGAACGCUGGCGGCGUGCCUAAUACAUGCAAGUCGAGCGAACAGACGAGGAGCUUGCUCCUCUGACGUUAGCGGCGGACGGGUGAGUAACACGUGGAUAACCUACCUAUAAGACUGGGAUAACUUCGGGAAACCGGAGCUAAUACCGGAUAAUAUAUUGAACCGCAUGGUUCAAUAGUUAAAGACGGUUUUGCUGUCACUUAUAGAUGGAUCCGCGCCGCAUUAGCUAGUUGGUAAGGUAACGGCUUACCAAGGCAACGAUGCGUAGCCGACCUGAGAGGGGGAUCGGCCACACUGGAACUGAGACACGGUCCAGACACCUACGGGAGGCAGCAGUAGGGAAUAUUCCGCAAUGGGCGAAAGCCUGACGGAGCAACGCCGCGUGAAUGAUGAAGGUCUUCGGAUCGUAAAACUCUGUUAUUAGGGAAGAACAAAUGUGUAAGUAACUAUGCACGUCUUGACGGUACCUAAUCAGAAAGCCACGGCUAACUACGUG
rnacentral:rRNA from 1 species